AGGGGAGCGUUCUGUAAGCCUGCGAAGGUGUGCUGUGAGGCAUGCUGGAGGUAUCAGAAGUGCGAAUGCUGACAUAAGUAACGAUAAAGCGGGUGAAAAGCCCGCUCGCCGGAAGACCAAGGGUUCCUGUCCAACGUUAAUCGGGGCAGGGUGAGUCGACCCCUAAGGCGAGGCCGAAAGGCGUAGUCGAUGGGAAACAGGUUAAUAUUCCUGUACUUGGUGUUACUGCGAAGGGGGGACGGAGAAGGCUAUGUUGGCCGGGCGACGGUUGUCCCGGUUUAAGCGUGUAGGCUGGUUUUCCAGGCAAAUCCGGAAAAUCAAGGCUGAGGCGUGAUGACGAGGCACUACGGUGCUGAAGCAACAAAUGCCCUGCUUCCAGGAAAAGCCUCUAAGCAUCAGGUAACAUCAAAUCGUACCCCAAACCGACACAGGUGGUCAGGUAGAGAAUACCAAGGCGCUUGAGAGAACUCGGGUGAAGGAACUAGGCAAAAUGGUGCCGUAACUUCGGGAGAAGGCACGCUGAUAUGUAGGUGAAGUCCCUCGCGGAUGGAGCUGAAAUCAGUCGAAGAUACCAGCUGGCUGCAACUGUUUAUUAAAAACACAGCACUGUGCAAACACGAAAGUGGACGUAUACGGUGUGACGCCUGCCCGGUGCCGGAAGGUUAAUUGAUGGGGUUAGCGCAAGCGAAGCUCUUGAUCGAAGCCCCGGUAAACGGCGGCCGUAACUAUAACGGUCCUAAGGUAGCGAAAUUCCUUGUCGGGUAAGUUCCGACCUGCACGAAUGGCGUAAUGAUGGCCAGGCUGUCUCCACCCGAGACUCAGUGAAAUUGAACUCGCUGUGAAGAUGCAGUGUACCCGCGGCAAGACGGAAAGACCCCGUGAACCUUUACUAUAGCUUGACACUGAACAUUGAGCCUUGAUGUGUAGGAUAGGUGGGAGGCUUUGAAGUGUGGACGCCAGUCUGCAUGGAGCCGACCUUGAAAUACCACCCUUUAAUGUUUGAUGUUCUAACGUUGACCCGUAAUCCGGGUUGCGGACAGUGUCUGGUGGGUAGUUUGACUGGGGCGGUCUCCUCCUAAAGAGUAACGGAGGAGCACGAAGGUUGGCUAAUCCUGGUCGGACAUCAGGAGGUUAGUGCAAUGGCAUAAGCCAGCUUGACUGCGAGCGUGACGGCGCGAGCAGGUGCGAAAGCAGGUCAUAGUGAUCCGGUGGUUCUGAAUGGAAGGGCCAUCGCUCAACGGAUAAAAGGUACUCCGGGGAUAACAGGCUGAUACCGCCCAAGAGUUCAUAUCGACGGCGGUGUUUGGCACCUCGAUGUCGGCUCAUCACAUCCUGGGGCUGAAGUAGGUCCCAAGGGUAUGGCUGUUCGCCAUUUAAAGUGGUACGCGAGCUGGGUUUAGAACGUCGUGAGACAGUUCGGUCCCUAUCUGCCGUGGGCGCUGGAGAACUGAGGGGGGCUGCUCCUAGUACGAGAGGACCGGAGUGGACGCAUCACUGGUGUUCGGGUUGUCAUGCCAAUGGCACUGCCCGGUAGCUAAAUGCGGAAGAGAUAAGUGCUGAAAGCAUCUAAGCACGAAACUUGCCCCGAGAUGAGUUCUCCCUGACUCCUUGAGAGUCCUGAAGGAACGUUGAAGACGACGACGUUGAUAGGCCGGGUGUGUAAGCGCAGCGAUGCGUUGAGCUAACCGGUACUAAUGAACCGUGAGGCUUAACCUU
rnacentral:rRNA from 1 species